rnacentral:lncRNA from 1 species
CUCUGAAUAUGUUGAAGGGACCAUGGGGCCUUUCAGAUCAAAAGGUUCAGAAAAAGAAAGUCCUUCACGCAGAAUCAACCAAAACCAGCCUGCUCAGAAGCCAGAUGUCCUCCCUCAGGAGCUCAGCUUGCAGUGAAAGGAAGGAUGGCCUCUCCAAUGCCAGCAGCCGGAGGACUGCUCUAAGUGACAAAGUUCUUCAGAUGUGUCUUCAGAAAACUGGCUGAAGACCUAUGGCUUGGUCGCCAAGAAACUCACCCUCAUGGAUGCCUUGUCAGUGGCAGCAGUCCCGCACAGCUCCACCUAUGUUCCCGUCCUGGACAAGCAUGUCGUGUCUAAGGUCUUUGAUGAGGUAAACUGAUUGUCUAUACGUCCCUACUUGAGGCCAUUUUCAUUUUCUGCUCAAAUAAAAAGUAGUCCAAUUUC